rnacentral:rRNA from 1 species
UACGAAGGGGGCUAGCGUUGCUCGGAAUCACUGGGCGUAAAGCGCACGUAGGCGGCUUCUUAAGUCAGGGGUGAAAUCCUGGAGCUCAACUCCAGAACUGCCCUUGAUACUGAGGAGCUCGAGUCCGGGAGAGGUGAGUGGAACUGCGAGUGUAGAGGUGAAAUUCGUAGAUAUUCGCAAGAACACCAGUGGCGAAGGCGGCUCACUGGCCCGGUACUGACGCUGAGGUGCGAAAGCGUGGGGAGCAAACAGGA